GACGAACGCUGGCGGCGUGCUUAACACAUGCAAGUCGAACGGAAAGGCCCUGCUUUUGUGGGGUGCUCGAGUGGCGAACGGGUGAGUAACACGUGAGUAACCUGCCCUUUACUUUGGGAUAACUUCAGGAAACUGGGGCUAAUACCGGAUAUGAGCUCCUUCUGCAUGGUGGGGGUUGUAAAGUUUCGGCGGUUGGGGAUGGACUCGCGGCUUAUCAGCUUGUUGGUGGGGUAGUGGCUUACCAAGGCUUUGACGGGUAGCCGGACUGAGGGGGUGACCGGCCACAUUGGGACUGAGAUACGGCCCAGACUCCUACGGGAGGAAGCAGUGGGGAAUAUUGCAAAAUGGGCGGAAGCCUGAUGCAGCAACGCCGCGUGCGGGAUGACGGCCUUCGGGUUGUAAACCGCUUUCGCCUGUGAAGAAGAGUGAGUGACGGUAAUGGGUAAAGAAGCACCGGCUAACUACGUG
rnacentral:rRNA from 1 species